rnacentral:rRNA from 1 species
UGGGCAACCUGCCCCCGACCCUGGGAUAACCCCGGGAAACCGGAGCUAAUACCGGAUACUCUCCUCUGACCACCUGGUCGGAUGAGGAAAGGUCCGCCGGUCGGGGAUGGGCCCGCGGCCUAUCAGCUUGUCGGUGGGGUAACGGCCUACCAAGGCGACGACGGGUAGCUGGU